CGGAGGUGCGAGCGUUGUCCGGAUUAUUGGGUUUAAAGGGUGCGUAGGUGGACCUCAAGUCUGGUUGAAGCAGGCGGCUCAACCGUGUGAUGUGGCUGGAAACUGGGUUCUUGAAUGGGUUGGCGGCUGCCGGAACGGGUCAUGUAGCGGUGAAAUGCAUAGAUAUGACCCAGAACACCGAUUGCGAAGGCAGGCAGCUACGACCUGAUUGACACUGAGGCACGAGAGCAUGGGUAGCGAACAGGAUU
rnacentral:rRNA from 1 species